ensembl:lncRNA
AUGAUUUGUUUUUCUUUCUGUCUAACCAGGCCUGUUAUCAUCAGUCUUGCAAUAGUAAUUGCCUGUAGCUGCUUCCUCACCAUUUGUACCAGCUGCUGCACAUCUUGCAGGACAAGGGAAGAGACCAGUCCCACAGAAGAACCAACAGUGAGGGUCUCCAUCCCACCUCCUCCCUUUUCUCCCUUCAUGCCAUCGGCUCCACCAGUAAACCAGAGUGUGGAACCACCUCCUUACACAGAGGUUGCAUGGAAGCCUUACAUUUACCCACCUCCCACGGGCCAGCCACCAGCCUAUGAUAAUAUUGCCAUUGAUCCCCCUUUAGAUGACUGCCGUCCCCCUACAUCAGCACCCAAAGAUAGCUCUUGAAGAUCUUCAGUUUCAGCUUGAUGACCUACUAUUAUGGAGGAAGAAGGGCAUCUUUGAUCUACAAUUCAAUCAAGAGUCAUCUAGUCCAGUAUUCUCUUUCCAAGAGCGAAACAUGGAAAAUUACUUGGAUGGACUAUAACUCCCAUAACCAUAGGCCAAGGGAAUGCUGUGAUUUGUAGCUCAAAGAAGUCACUUUCUCAAGGGUGUGCCUUUGAAGCUCAUAAGCAGGACAUAGUGAUUGUCACCAUUAUUUAUUUAUACACUACGUUGCCCCAAAAGUGGGACUAAGGCUGCAUGAUGAUGAUGAUCAACAUACAAGGUGCCAUAUAUAAGGCAGAGAGAGAAAAUUAUCUUAGGGAACAUAUGCUGAAAGGUUUCAGAGGUAGAUCUUGGUUUUUCCAUCUCUUUUGGGCUGUUUCCUGCUUUUAGAAGGUAAAGCUACAUACAUCACACAGUUUGUCUUGGGCUUCUAAGUUAGCCUCCUGUCUUCAAGUAUGUGAAAAAGCUCUAUCCCAUCAUCUGUGAUUGAUUUACUAGUUUAACCACAUUCGAUCCAUAGAAUGGACCGAGCGUGCCAUUUUGUUCCUCACUUCAAGCACUGAAAUACAUUGAGCUGGGACUACCUUUGUGUUCAGUGUCUGGUUUCCAGAGCUAUACCAGUUCUGCACAUAGAAUAUCCUAUUAGUCAUCAUAAUGGCUAACUAGCCACCACACAUUUUAAUGUCUCAAAUUUUAGAGCUAUUUCUGGGUAUAUCUGACCUGCUGAUUCCAAAAAUGGCACUGUUUUUUUCCUAUUAACUCUAGUUUUUGAGAUACAAGACAUAUGCCAUAUACCAGUCUUCAUUUGCUCACCCAUAAGAAAUCAUGAUAACCAUAUCAAAGAAACUACAGCUGAUGCGGUCUAUCCUAUGUUAUUUUCUGAAUGAGUGUCCCCAAUAACCCCAAGAGCAGGCCUAAAAACCAAGAUAUCAAGAAAAAUUAGUUUGUUGUGCUGUGUAAUAGUUGCUGCUAGACAUUUCCUCCUUUUUAAAAAAAGGCCCUUUUUAAAAAAAGGUUUAGGUUAAUGGUCAUCACACCAUAUACAAUAUAAUCCCUGUACAUGCAAGACCAGAGUCCGUGUUUUCACCUACCUGCAUCUGGCAACGUAUGUCCUCUGUAGGAAUUUCCUAGUUCCUCAGGUGAUAUUUCCAUUGAAUAGAAUCACAUAGGAAGAGUUAGCAAUUCCCAGAGAUGAUAUAUCUCUAGCAAUGUUAGGUCCUCCAGCAUGAUGCUAUGGUAAAGUUCAAUAGAAGUCUUCCAUUUUAAUAUGGUUCACCAUUAUCCACUGUUUCCUUUUUCCAUGAUAUUUGGAAUUCUGUCAUGUGGAUAUGGGGGUUGCACUGUACUCAUAUUUGGCAGAACCGAAAAAGUAACCUUUUUGAUCCCGGAGUCUUCAGCUUUUCCAAUCUCCAGUAUUUUCCUAGAUUAACUUUAUGUUCUAUAGAAAGGUGCCUCCUUUUGUUUAUGUUAGCUCCCUCUCCUAUACAAAGAAGGAAGAAAAUGUGUCUCUCUUCACUAUGCCCAAGCAGCUCUUGCAAUAUUAUUAUUUUUCGCCAGCUCUACCCUCGUGCUUCUUUUAUCCAAUGUUUUGUAUCAGCUGAGAAAUCAAUUGAUAUUUAUGCCUAACACAUCAAUUGCUUAUUUAACACUAAGACUGAACAAAUAUGAAUCAAUACACCAUGACAUUUGGGCCUGGCACUUCCAGGCAAGCACAACUGCCAACAAUGCUUAAGCUCUGAUACUGUUCUCUUUCUAAAUGAAGGUAAAAGAUUUUCUACUGACUGUCUGACUCUGGGGGUUCGUGCUCAUCUCCAUUUCUAAGCCGAAGAGCUGGCAUUGUCCGUAGACACCUCCAAGGUCAUGUGGCUGGCAUGACUGCAUGGAGCACCGUUACCUUCCCGCUGGAGCGGUACCUAUUGAUCUACUCACAUUUGCAUGUUUUUGAACUGCUAGUUUGGUAGAAGCUGGGGCUAAUAGUGAGAGCUCACCCCGCUUCCCAGAUUAGAACUGCCGAUCUUUCAGUCAGCAAGUUCAGCAGCUCAAUGUUUUAACCAACUGUACCAACAUGGAAAUAUAGCAAGUAUUUCUUGGCCUUUCAUUUGUUUCAUGCACACACACACCUGAGGAUGUAAAGUUUCUAGAUUAGAUUUGGGAUGGGUUUCUAUAGCUUAAAACCUUGGUGAGUUCGAUCAAGCAUCACAAAGAUCCUUAUCAGUAUACAUUUUUCAAACUGAUUUUCCGAUAUCUUCCACUGUCCCCAUUUGGCAGGGACAGCCUCGAUUAAUGCUCUGCCAUCCCAAUUUAUUAACUGCUUUUCAAAUAUAAAAGUACUGUGCAUUCCAUUAUCUUUGGAGGGGAGAAGGUAGAAUCUUUCCCUUUUUCAGUAGUCUCCAGCAACAACAAUCUCUCCAAGCUUCUGUUUUUCUCCCUCAUCAGUAACUUUUGACUAAAUUCUGAUGUUACAUGACCACAUGUAUUCCAGUUUUUUUCUGUGGAAUGUUGGCAAUUAUGCCAUCCAGUGAAUUGCAUGGCUUAGUGAAUAUUUGAAUCCUAGGACUAUUUGAAUCAUAGUCCUAGUCCCAGGGGUGACAAUUUUGUGCCCCUCUAGAUCACUGGUUCCCAACCUAUGGGCCUUCAGUUGUUUUGGACUUCAACUCCCAGAAAUCCCAGCCAGAUUACCAGUUGUUAGGAACUGUGGGAGCUGAAGUCCAAAACACCCGAAGGCCCAUAGGUUGGGAACUACUGCUGUAGAUGUUACUGGACUGCAAUUCUCACCAUCCAUUACCCAUGGCAAUACUGGCUAGAACUGAUGGGAGCUGUGUAUCUAUCUCAUCAUUACAUCAAGGAAGGCAACUGCAAGGGAUGGAAGUCUUCCAUUUCUCUUUCCAUGAAAUCCAUGCCCAUGCAAAACGGGAGUUGAGUUUUCUCUCCAAAUGGCCACAAUUAUUUCUCAAAACUUCUUGGGACACUUAAUUACUUUGAUGCAUUGGGGUUUUUUCUGCAUCUUGCUAUCAGUUCCAAGGGCACAUAGACCCCUUUUCCAACAAGUAGUGACUAUAUGGUUAUUUCUGGUUGGAAAAUGCCUCAUCUAUACCUGAAAAUUGUAUGGGAGGCCACAAAAUGGAGAUAAAAAUAGACUGUUGCCACCAAAGAUUUUGGAAGGUGCAGUUGGCAACUUCAGGGAAGUACUUCCAAUUUGGUGUGUGUGGGUUUGAGGAUCUAGGGGGUCACGAAAAUCCAUUAUAAGUUGUACAAAGUCUACAUACUGCUCUUACUCAGACCUAGUAUAAAUCAAGUUGGCUGAGAGCAAUAAAUGUCUACACUGGAGAGCAGCAGAUCUUGAUAGAUUCAGGCAGGAGAGAUUACCAUUGAACCUGAUGUAUAUCAUGAGCUACAGUCUUCCUCCAAAGAGCCUGUUUCUACCUCCUCCAUGUUGCACUGCAUUCUUGGGCAUGAAUUCACCACACCCUGAGGUCUUUGCUUCCCAUCAUCACAUUCAGAAUUUCUUGCUCUUUGGACUCCACACAGUUGCUACUAACUGCCUCAGGUCAAAAUCCAAAGGUCUUUGUAGAUCUCAGCUGAUAUUAUUGAGUUAGCAAGCCAAUGUUUUUUUAAUGUCAUAAAGGAAAUUCUUGUGCCAAUAUACUUAUUAUGACAAAUGGAAUUUGUGUUGCACAUCUGCUUGCUUAUACAAAAAUCAAAGAGUGAGCUAAAAUGGUCAGUUGCUAGCCAACUGUUAUGAGUAUUCUUCAUAACCCAUCUAUCUCUGUUUGGCAAUAAUAGUCCUAAUUUAUUUUCUGUCAUCCUCCUUUCUCAGCCUGCUUAUGCAAUCUCCAAGCUUCUCCCUCCUCCUCUCAUUUUCCACAUUCAUCUUCAACUUUCUUUGGAUGCUCCAAACUGUGUUCAAAGUGCAAAAGCGCUUACAUGCCAUGCAAAGCACUCUCAGCAAAAGGGAGAGGAAGAGAGGGAGACAAAAUCUUGCCCUUCCCAGUAGCCUCAGGUAAGAAUAAUCUGCUUCUGUCUUUCCUCACUUGUGUGUCCAUCCUCAUUCAUAACUUUUUUCAUCUUUAUAUCUUGAAAAGGGAGCAAAUGAUUUACUUUCUUAUCAUUGUAUUUCUUAUUUCCAAGAAUGAGAUGGAGCUCUUGGAGACAACGAUUUGAUUGCCUUUCUGCUGACAUUGGGAGCUAUGCACUCCAAUUGGGGGGGUGAUAUUUACUGCUCUUCUUCAGGCAGCAAAAACCUUAAGCUGCCGUUCUGGUCAUCCAUCUCUGAAGGCAGCAAUUAUUGUGCUUAAUCAUGAAAUAUUCUGGAAACUUUGAGAAUUGCAGUCAAACAUUUAGAAAGCUGCACAUUCACCACCCC